UCCUUUUAUGCCGACCUGUUUAUGUUAAUAUGAAUGAUUGCUUGGUAGUGGAUUGACUACGAUUUCGAGACGGAAUUUCGCGUGUCCCAGAUAUAUUAACAGGUCCUUGAGAAAUCUCCUACUAGAUCAUCGUGUAUUUUAUUUUACGAUUAAUAUUUCAGACACAACAAUAUUUCUGGCACAUUAAUGACAAACAUGACGAAUUCAACAUUUAUAUUGUCUACUUCCCAUUUCUCAGCGGUUUGCAAACUCUCCAGUGGCGGAUCCAGAAGUGGGAUCCGAGGGUUGGAACCCUUUUUUGACGACCAAUGCAUUUGACUGGAG
rnacentral:lncRNA from 1 species